rnacentral:rRNA from 1 species
UCAGCCCUAAACACAAAUAAUUUUAAAAACAAAAUUAUUCGCCAGAGUACUACCGGCAACAGCCUAAAACUCAAAGGACUUGGCGGUGCUUUAUACCCUUCUAGAGGAGCCUGUUCUAUAAUCGAUAAACCCCGAUAAACCUCACCAAUUCUUGCUAAUACAGUCUAUAUACCGCCAUCUUCAGCAAACCCUAAAAAGGAACAAAAGUAAGCGCAAUCAUAACAUAUAAAAACGUUAGGUCAAGGUGUAACCUAUGAAAUGGGAAGAAAUGGGCUACAUUUUCUACUUCAAGAAAACCCACAUACGAAAGUUAUUAUGAAACUAAUAACCAAAGGAGGAUUUAGUAGUAAACUAAGAAUAGAGUGCUUAGUUGAACUAGGCCAUGAAGCACGC